AUGAUGUAUCUAUGAGAGUUGAACUGACCCUGGAUGAGUUUAUCGGUUUCAUCCAAUCUUUACACACUACACAAUUGUACAUUCAAGAUCAUCCAGGAACAAAAGUUCUAGAAGAAAUUAGAGCCAGAAUGACGUCAAUCUUAUCUGCUGACGGCAAAGACGACGAUAACGUCAAACUUAAGAUGACAAAAUAUUUUUUUCUAGUACUCGGUAAUAAGGAACUCUGUGGCGCUAAUGACUUCAACAAAUAAUUUAUACUUAUCUUAUAAAGCUUUCCAAACAUU
rnacentral:sRNA from 1 species